GAUAAAGAGAGGAAUCAAACCCCCUUAGAUAGGACUACAGCCUACUGCCUAACAUUCGGCCACUUUACC
rnacentral:tRNA from 1 species